GGGGGGCAACUGUUGGGAUAUACCGGCUGAUCCCUAUAUACCGAUUUAUCCUCGGAACGGUCCGACCGACGCCCGACUCUACCCAUCGGGCAGACAAACGACUCCGACAAUGACUGCCAACGAUAUCCGACUAAAGGUAUGCCGGCCAAACAGAUCAAUAUUAUUUCCAACCGGUCGAACAGUCGAACCCAUAUCACCGACUCGCUGUCGGGGGUGACAGCCGACGUCCGACUUCCACAAGGCACC
rnacentral:lncRNA from 1 species